rnacentral:rRNA from 1 species
UACGUAGGGUGCGAGCGUUGUCCGGAAUUACUGGGCGUAAAGAGCUCGUAGGUGGUUUGUCGCGUUGUUCGUGAAAACUCACAACUCAAUUGUGGGCGUGCGGGCGAUACGGGCAGACUGGAGUACUGCAGGGGAGACUGGAAUUCCUGGUGUAGCGAUGGAAUGCGCAGAUAUCAGGAGGAACACCGGUGGCGAAGGCGGGUCUCUGGGCAGUAACUGACGCUGAGGAGCGAAAGCGUGGGGAGCGAACAGG